GCCCGCUUAGCUCAGCUGGUCAGAGCAGAGGACUCUUAAUCCUAAGGUCCAGGGUUCGAAUCCCUGAGCGGGUA
rnacentral:tRNA from 1 species